rnacentral:snoRNA from 1 species
CCAGCGUGGAUACCCCAGGAGGUCACGCUCCCCGGGCUCUGUCCAGUGGCACAGGGGAGCACAGGGCUCAGCCAGUGAUGCACAGUCCCAUUCCACAGCAUUGGAGAUGAAGCCGGGCUCUUGAGCCUGCACCUGCAUAUUCCUACAGCUUCCCUGAGUCUUAUGGACAAUGACUGAGGAGACAAAGCACGCAGGAAACAGUU